rnacentral:rRNA from 1 species
ACGGGAGGCAGCAGUAGGGAAUAUUGCACAAUGGGGGGAACCCUGAUGCAGCAACGCCACGUGUGGGAAGAAGCAUUUCGGUGUGUAAACCACUGUCGUGAGGGAAUAAUGCUUAAUUUCGGUUAAGUUGAAUGUACCUCGAAAGGAAGCACCGGCAAACUUCGUGCCAGCAGCCGCGGUAAUACGUAGGGGGCAAGCGUUAUCCGGAUUUACUGGGUGUAAAGGGAGCGUAGACGGCAAGGUAAGUCUGAAGUGAAAUGCCGGGGCUCAACCCCGGAACUGCUUUGGAAACUAUCUCGCUCGAGUACCGGAGGGGUAAGCGGAAUUCCUAGUGUAGCGGUGAAAUGCGUAGAUAUUAGGAGGAACACCAGUGGCGAAGGCGGCUUACUGGACGGUAACUGACGUUGAGGCUCGAAAGCGUGGGGAGCAAACAGGAUUAGAUACCCUGGUA